rnacentral:rRNA from 1 species
ACAGAUCGUUCAGAGUUUGAUCCUGGCUCAGAACGAACGCUGGCGGCAGGCCUAACACAUGCAAGUCGAACGGACCCUUCGGGGUCAGUGGCAGACGGGUGAGUAACGCGUGGGAAUCUACCCGGUUCUUCGGAAUAACCCAGGGAAACUUGGGCUAAUACCGGAUACGCCCUUAGGGGGAAAGAUUUAUCGGAAUUGGAUGAGCCCGCGUCGGAUUAGCUAGUUGGUGGGGUAAUGGCCUACCAAGGCGACGACCCGUAGCUGGUCUGAGAGGAUGAUCAGCCACACUGGGACUGAGACACGGCCCAG